AAUUUUAGUUUCCUACCGAGGCUAGUUUCAGAAUUUAAAUUAUCUCUAUGUCUCUUCUCUUGUUAAUUACAUUUUUCAUGUUACACUUGUCGCCCUACAUAUUCAGUACAUAUUUCUUACUGACACAUUUUUAUGCGAUGUGUUCAUGCCUACAGAUUCGAAUAGACAGAGUGGUGUGCCUCCUCAGUAGGACCCCCAGGAUCAGCGUUGGGUUUCGCACUCCACUUCUUCGGAGUUGCUGACUUUGAGUCCAUAGAUACGAGUGAAUUGGCGAUGGAAUCAAGAGCUAAAGCGGUGAUUGAGUGUUAAAUUACUCGUUGGCUUGAGAUUUUGGAGCUAGUGGUUGAUCAUGAGGUUGGUUGCUAUCACUGCGCACUGGAGACCCAAGGUAGUCCUGCAGGCGUCCGCAGGCCCUGGCGUCCCCUUUCUAUCUCAUUUAAUUUUCUGUUUUAUCUACUACCGAGACAGAUGUAAACUUUUCAUUCAGCCCUUGUUUGUAGUAAUCUUAGAUAGUUUGUGAGUUGUGACACCAGUUCUGGGUGAAUGUUACUAUGGUUUUCGUUAUUAUGUAAAGUUAAGCUUUUAAAAUA